rnacentral:lncRNA from 1 species
AGCUAUAUAUUAUAUGAAUUCAACCGCCGAAAUCGGUUGAACCGUGACUAGUUUGGACGGUUUAUAAUAUGUGAAAAUUACAGGGAGCCCUACUUUUAAAGAUUACAUAUCAAAAAUCAGAAUUAUAGUUUAUAUAUAUACAAAAAUCAAAGCAUUACAAUAUUUUAAUAUUAAAUGAAAAUAUUAUAAAAUUCAAUUAAUUAUAUAUCCAAAUCCCAAACCCUAAUAUUCAUUUCCUUCUUCAUUUUCAAUCUAUUUUCUCUCUACGCUACCUCAUCUCCUCUCUACCUCACCAGUCACCACCAUCGCCAAAUGUUGGAAAAGCACUGCACGAAGUCGUGCAUCGCCGCAAAUGGGGCUUCUCUACAUAGUUGUCUAGCAUAGAAGCGGCUCGCAGCGUCACGAGCCUUCUCAGCUGUAGCGCCGCCCGCAACGGAUGUCGUGCGUUGAGGUGCCUCGCACAGUGAAUGGUGGCGGCGAUGGUUUACAUGUUUUGGCUAUGGUUUUUAUUGGUGGAGAUGGUGGUGUAUCUGGCACUAGAUGUGGGUUUUGUUGGAUCGACAGUGGGUCUAGUGGGAUGGAUCUAACGUUGGUGUUGUUGGAUUUGGUGGUGGCGUCUGUGAUUUUGUUAGAUAUGGUGGUGUUUUUUGUUGAUACAAGCAAUGGUGGUGGUGUUGCUCAGCGGCAGAUUUGGAACUUUCUUUUUUUUUUUUGGGUUGUGAAUGUGGAUUGGUAGGCUAGUGGUGGUAGUGGCAGUAGUGGUGUGACUGUAUCAUUGGUGGUGGUGGACUUAGGUAAGGAUAAGGUUGGGAAUGGAGAGAGUUUGUAAUUAAUUAUUUGGUGGAUAAUAAUCAUAAAAAAUUUGAGACCAAUAAUUUUGUUGAUUGUGACCAAUAAAUUGGUUAAUUUGCAAUCAAUUAAUAAUAUGUGAUUCAAAAAAUAUGAUUGUGACUUACAAUUUACUUAAAGUUGUGAUUGAUUCAUUUGAUAAUUUUGAUCGUUAAAUAAG